rnacentral:lncRNA from 1 species
CUAGACUCAAGCAAUCCUCCCGUUCGGCCUUCCAAAUUGUUGGAAUUACAGGUGUUAAUCACUGCACCUGGCCUGAUUUUUUAAUUAUCAAAUCAUGUUCAGAACUCACUUCAAUCCAAUUAACUGAGGAUUUCUGGAAAGGUUACCCAGGCAUCAGUAUUUUUUCACUGUGAUAAAAUACAUAUAAAAUGUACUAUAAUAAUUUACUUUAAUAAUUGUCUUGACAAUUUUUAAGUGUAGAGUUCUAUGGAAUUGAGUACAUUCACAUGGCUGUGCAACCAUCACCACCAUCCAUCUCUAGAACUCUUUUCAUCUUGCAAAACUUAAAUGCUGUGCCCGUUGAACAAUAACUUUCUCUUUUCUCCAUCUUCACCCUGACAACCACUAUUUUACUUUCUGUCCCUAUGAAUUUCACUACUCUAGGUACUUCACGUAAGUGAAAUCAAACAAUAUUUGUACUUAUGUGACUUGCUUAUUUCACUUAGCAUAGUAUCCUCAAGGUUCAUCCACGUUGUAGUAUGUGUCCAAGUUUUCUUCCUUUUUAAGGUGGAAAAUAUUGCAUUUUAUGUAUAUGAAUUUUACAUAUCCAUGCCUCCAUCGAUGGACACUUGGGUUGUUUCCCUCUUUGGCUAUUGUGAAUAAUACUGCUAUGAACACGGUGGGCAACUCCCUCUUCUAAACCUUGCUUUCAAUUCUUUUGGAUAUAUACCCAGAAGUGGAACUGCUGGAUUAUAUGGCAAAUUAUUUUUAAUUUUUCAAGGAUACAUCUUACUGUUUUCUAUAGUAACUACCAUUUUACACUGCCACCAGCAAUGCACAGGAGUUCCAAUAUCACUACAUUUCUUUCAAUACUUGUUAUUUUCAGGUUUUUUUCUUAGUAUCUAUUCUAAGGGGUGUGAGGUGGCUUCUCAUUGUGGUUUUGAUUUGCAUUUCUCCAAUGAUUAGUGAUAUUGGACAUCUUUUCAUGUGCAUAUUGGCCAUUUGUAUAUCUUUUAGGAAAAAUAUCAGUUCCAAUACUUUGCCCAUUUUUGAGAUGGGUUGUGUGGUUGUUGUUGAAUUAUAGCUUUUUAUGAAUUCUGUAUAUUAAUUCUUUAUCAGAUAUGCUAUUUGCAAAUAUUUUCUUCCAUUUUGUGGGUUGUCUUUUCACUCUAUUAAUUAUUUCCUUUGAUGCCUAGAGAUUUUUAUUUUUGAUGUAGUCCAACUUACUUUUUUUUCUUUUGUUGCCUGUGCCUUUGGUAUUUCCACUUUUUUUGGCUAUUGGACAUAAUGCUGCUAUGAACAUUUAUGUACAGGAUUUUUUUGAUGGAUAUGUGUUUUCAGUUCUCUUGGGUUUAUGCCUAGAAGUAGAACUGCUGCAUCAUAUGGUAGCUCUGUGUUUAAGUUUCUGAGGAACUGCAAAAAUGUUUCCAAAGUGGCUACACCAUCUUAUACCUUACCAACAAUAGAUAAGUGUUAUAUAUUCUCCACAUCUUUACCAACACUUGCUAUUUUUCAUCUUUUAGAUUAGAGAUAUCUUGGGGAUGUGAAGCAGUAUCUCCUUGUGGUUUUGAUUUGCAUUUCCCUAAUGACUGAUCAUGUCAAGCAUUUUUCAUGUGUUUAUUAGCCAUUUGUAAUCUGCUUUAGAAAAAUAAUUCUUAAAUUUUUUUCUCAUUUUUAAGUUGUGUUGUCUUUUUAUUGAGUUGUAAAGGUCCUUUAAAUACUCUGCAUAGAAGUCCUUUAUCAGAUAUAUGAUCUGCAAAUAUUAUUUUCCUUUUUGCUUUUUGCCUUUUCAUUUGUAAAAUUGUAUCUUUAGAAACACAUUUAACUUUUUUUUAUUUUGAGGAAGUCAAAUUUAUAAUUUGCUGUCAUUUGUAUUUUGGUGUUCAAUGCCUGAUCCAGGGUCAUAAAAAUGUGCACAUAUGUUUUAUGCUAAGAUUUUUAUAGUUUUAGCUCUUAAGGUUUUGAUCAAUUUUGAGUUAAUUUUUUUCUAUGAUAUGAGGAACUGGGCCAACCUCAUUCUUUUGCAAAUGAACCUCAUUCUUUUGCAUAUUUUGCAGUUUUCUGAGCAUCAUUUGUUGAAAAUACUGCCCUUUCCCCAUUGGUCUUGGAGCCUUUGUCAAAAAUGAUUUGACCAUACUAUAUGCAAGCAUUUAUUUCUGGACCCUCUAUUCUAUUCCAUUGGUCUGACUUUAUGCCAAUACUACACUGCCUUGAUUAUGAAGCUUCAUUGUAAGUUUUGAAAUCAGGAAAUCUGAAACUGCAACUUUAUUCUUCUUUUUCAAUAUCAUUUUGGUUAUUUAGAAUCCCUUGAGAUUCUAUAUGAAUUUUAGAGGGAUUUUUCUAUUUCUGAAAAAAAAUGUCAAUGAGAUUUUGAUAGGAAUUGCAUUGAACCUAUAGAUCACUUCGGGUAAGUUAGUUUUUCUAUAUGGUGUGAGAAACAGAUACGCCAUUUUUUUGCAUGUGGAUAUCCAAUUCUUGCAGCACCAUUUGUUAAAAAUACUAUUUUUUUCCACAUUGAAUUCUGUUGUCACCCUUGUCAAAAAAUAAAUUAAUCAUAAAUGAAAGGGUUACUUCUGGACAUUUAAUCUGAUCCCAGUUAUUUGUUUUUAUGUUGGUGUCGUAAAGUCUUUAUUACUAUACCUUUGUAUUAAGUAUGGAAAUGCGGAAGUGUGACUCUUCCAACUUUGUUCUUCUUUUUCAAGAUUUUUUGGCUAUUCUGGGUUACUUGCAUUGCUAUAUAAAUUUUAGAACCAUACUGUUUAUUUUCCCAAAAACAUUUCUGGGUUUUUCAGUAAAGUUUUUGUUUUGUUUUGUUUUGUUUGUUUGUUUGGAGAUGAUGUCUCGCUAUGUUGCCCAGGCUGGGCUUGAACUCCGGGACUCAAGGGAUCCUCCCACCUCAGCCUCUUGAGUAGCUGAGAUUACAAAGAGCACAGAAGCUUUCAGGGUGGAGAGUCAGGACAGGUUCUAUGGACAUAUGGAGCUCCCAGGGGGGCUUGUGCAGGACUCAAGGAAAUGUCCAGCUUAACCUGCUGGGCACAACAAUUUUGCUGCUUCAACCCAUCUGCUAUGGAAAAUGAGGAGCCAACAAAAAAGGGAGAAACAGAGGUGAAGGCACCUGAUAAUGAAAGCUUUAAGAAAGGGAAGGGGUAAGUACAUGCCGUCAGGUGAACCCAGAAGUCAAUAAAGAUGAAAAGUCCUUUGGACCAUGACCAAGAGAUUAUUGAUGCAAUCUGCUGAUGUCUUAGAAUGUGCCUUGCCUAGGCUGGUGCCUGUGAGCUGGCAGAAGUGUGAUGCCCUUCUCCGCUAGUAUCAAUAAAAUCGCACGAGAUAUUCUUGCCCCAUUCCCAGGUAUAUCCUGAGUCAUUCAUUUCAACCCAGCUUAACCCCAUCCUCACCCUCAGAGUUCUUCACCCUUGGAAUCAAUUCGUGUUGAAGACCUCAUAUCAUCUGCCUCAAAACCACUGAUCCACAUUGCCAUUCUGUUCUGACCUCUGGCUGACUUGCUUAGGUUCUUCCUCCCUACUGGACCACAGGCGUGUCUCAGCAUUGGGAAGGGUCCUAGGAUGCAUUGUAAAAGAAAGUCUGUAAUUUUGGUGCAUCAAGGAACAAAAGUGUGGAAACAUCCAGCCUGUGGCUGCUGGACACUCCCCUUCUUCCUUCUCACCAUACUGUCUGUAAUAAAGAAUAAAGUGUUAUUUAAUAU